rnacentral:rRNA from 1 species
UACGGAGGGGGCUAGCGUGGUUCGGAAUUACUGGGCGUAAAGCGCACGUAGGCGGAUUGGAAAGUUGGGGGUGAAAUCCCGGGGCUCAACCCCGGAACUGCCUUCAAAACUCCCAGUCUGGAGGUCGAGAGAGGUGAGUGGAAUUCCGAGUGUAGAGGUGAAAUUCGUAGAUAUUCGGAGGAACACCAGUGGCGAAGGCGGCUCACUGGCUCGAUACUGACGCUGAGGUGCGAAAGCGUGGGGAGCAAACAGG